GAUGAACGCUGGCGGCGUGCCUAAUACAUGCAAGUCGAGCGAACAGACGAGGAGCUUGCUCCUUUGACGUUAGCGGCGGACGGGUGAGUAACACGUAGGUAACCUACCUAUAAGACUGGGAUAACUUCGGGAAACCGGAGCUAAUACCGGAUAAUAUUUCGAACCGCAUGGUUCGAUAGUGAAAGAUGGCUUUGCUAUCACUUAUAGAUGGACCUGCGCCGUAUUAGCUAGUUGGUAAGGUAACGGCUUACCAAGGCAACGAUACGUAGCCGACCUGAGAGGGUGAUCGGCCACACUGGAACUGAGACACGGUCCAGACUCCUACGGGAGGCAGCAGUAGGGAGUCUUCCGCAAUGGGCGAAAGCCUGACGGAGCAACGCCGCGUGAGUGAUGAAGGUCUUCGGAUCGUAAAACUCUGUUAUUAGGGAAGAACAAACGUGUAAGUAACUGUGCACGUCUUGACGGUACCUAAUCAGAAAGCCACGGCUAACUACGUG
rnacentral:rRNA from 1 species